rnacentral:rRNA from 1 species
UUUUAUGGAGAGUUUGAUCCUGGCUCAGGACGAACGCUGGCGGCGUGCCUAAUACAUGCAAGUCGAGCGAACUCAAUUAAAGCUUGCUUUAUGAGAGUUAGCGGCGGACGGGUGAGUAACACGUGGGCAACCUGCCCUGUAGACUGGGAUAACUUCGGGAAACCGAAGCUAAUACCGGAUAAUCUUUGGAGCCUCAUGGUUCUAAAGUGAAAGUUGGGUUUACCUAACACUACAGGAUGGGCCCGCGUCGCAUUAGCUAGUUGGUAAGGUAACGGCUUACCAAGGCGACGAUGCGUAGCCGACCUGAGAGGGUGAUCGGCCACACUGGGAC